UUACUGCUGAGGAGUCCCAUACCAGAACGAAAUGGCUAUCCAGUAC
rnacentral:hammerhead_ribozyme from 1 species